CCUUGUAUGGAAACUGAAAUUGAAUCCUACUAAAACCAAAACCAAAAUAUUUUCACAUUGCAAUUUCUGUGGUUGAGUAACUUAUCGAGAUAACAAAAAUUCAAUUAAUUCUCAGUCAUGCGUAGUAAUUACCUAGUUCACUCGGACGUUCGUAAGCAUGAAAAUUCCAAUCAUUUAAAUUUUACUGAAGUACAUAUAUCAAAAACUUUACAGACACUGGUAGAUCUCGUAGUGGACGAAUUAAAAGUCGCGUGCUCAAAUAUUGACGAAAAAUAUCACUUUGAUACCUAUUACCGAUUAUUAUUGAAUUAGCAAGAUGAAAGUUACAUUUGUUAUUACAAUUUCUGCAUUCAUUUUUUGUAUUUUGCUGCUCACAAUCAGUGCAUCAAAAAUCAGAGAAAAACCUGCUGAUGCUCAUGCUGAUGCUCAUGCUGAUGUUCAUGCUCGUCGUCUUGAUCCUAGUGCUACGCAAUCGAACGACUCAAAACCCUGUUUUAGUAUCAUAUGUAUUGGAAGUAUAUUAUUUCCCUUUCCCUUUCUUGGGAGAAGAUAAUCUCAGCCAUUAUUUUCUACCAUCGUCAAAUUGGUAACACUGCGGCACCCGCAGUUUUCUGAUAGGUAAUUUCACGAAUGUGUUGUUGAUUUACUGUUAUUUACUGAGAAUAAUUUAAGUUUUUAAAAUAAGUAAAAAUUAUGAAGUAAUGACAGGUUAGCUUUUAACGUUACUUAAUUUAUUGUUACAUUACCCAUUAUGUUAUUUUGACCAAAUAGUUUGACUAUUGAAUUUUCUAAAGUUGAAAUAUUGUCCCAACCAAAUGAAUUUGUAAUUUUUAUCCAUCUUUCAUUCGUGUUUUGUAUGUUAUUGAGAAAUAAACGUAACGAUAGUAUAAAAAA